UCCCAGACUCCUACGGGAGGCAGCAGUGGGGAAUAUUGCACAAUGGGGGGAACCCUGAUGCAGCGACGCCGCGUGGGUGAAGGAGCACCUCGGUGCGUAAAGCCCUAUCGGCAGGGAAGAAACAGACGGUACCUGACUAAGAAGCCCCGGCUAACUACGUGCCAGCAGCCGCGGUAAUACGUAGGGGGCAAGCGUUAUCCGGAUUCACUGGGUGUAAAGGGAGCGUAGACGGCGACGCAAGUCUGGAGUGAAAGCCCGGGGCUCAACCCCGGGACUGCAUUUGGAACUGUGCUGCUAGAGUGUCGGAGAGGCAGGCGGAAUUCCUAGUGUAGCGGUGAAAUGCGUAGAUAUUAGGAGGAACACCAGUGGCGAAGGCGGCCUGCUGGACGAUGACUGACGUUGAGGCUCGAAAGCGUGGGGAGCAAACAGGAUUAGAUACCCGCGUA
rnacentral:rRNA from 1 species